rnacentral:rRNA from 1 species
UGGGGAAUAUUGGACAAUGGGGGAAACCCUGAUCCAGCAAUACCGCGUGGAGGAAGAAGGCCUUUGGGUUGUAAACUCCUGUCGUUAGGGACAAAGUUGGUUAUAUGAAUAGUGUGAUCAAUUGAUGGUACCUAAGGAGGAAGCACCGGCUAACUCCGUGCCAGCAGCCGCGGUAAUACGGAGGGUGCAAGCGUUGUUCGGAAUCACUGGGCGUAAAGCGCGUCUAGGCGGGUGAUUAAGUCUGUUGUGAAAGACUCUGGCUCAACCAGAGAAAUGCAGCAGAUACUGGUCAUCUAGAGUAGUGGAGAGAUGGGCGGAAUUCCGAGUGUAGCAGUGAAAUGCGUAGAUAUUCGGAGGAACACCAGAGGCGAAGGCGGCUCAUUGGCCACUAACUGACGCU